GCCUGCCAGUGACUAAGUUCAACGGCCGCGGUAUCCUAACCGUGCGAAGGUAGCGUAAUCACUUGUUCUUUAAAUGAGGACUAGUAUGAAUGGCACCACGAAGGUUAUGCUGUCUCCUUUUUCUAAUCAAUGAAACUGAUCUCCCCGUGAAGAAGCGGGGAUACAACUAUAAGACGAGAAGACCCUAUGGAGCUUUAAACUAUGUAACACUGGUUUACACAUUAAAAUAUUCCAGAAUUUUUCAUAAUUACUCUAGCCACCAUGAUUACUAGUUUUAGGUUGGGGUGACCACGGAGCAAAAAUUAACCUCCAUGUUAAACGGAGCCACUCCUGAGCCAAAAGCCACGACUUUAAGCACUAAUAAAUUAAUAUUAAUUGACCCAAUAUUUUUGAUCAACGAACCAAGUUACCCUAGGGAUAACAGCGCA
rnacentral:rRNA from 1 species